AUGCGCGGGCCCCGGGCGCCGGGGGUGGGGGUGGGGGUGGGGGUGGGGGUGGGGGCCGACGAGGCGGCCGGGCCCGCGACCCUCCCGGAAGCCGCGGCCGGGGCGGGGCGGGGCCGCCUUUCCGCCGGAGGGUCGGGGGCGCGGGGGGGCGGGGACGCCAGGCCGGAAGCGCCCGCCGCGGGGCCUCACCUGCGCGCACCUGGGCCCGCCCGCGCCGCGGGCUCCGAGGGACGCGGGGCCGCCUCGGGGGCGCACCCCCGCCCCGCCCCGCCCCAGCCCCCGCCCCCGCCCCCGCCGGGCGGCGGCCCCGGCGCUCCCCCGCGCCUGGCCCGGCCGCGCUCGCCCCGCCCGCCGCCGCCCCCGGCCCGCCGCCCGCGCGCGCCCCGGGGAAGAGAGGGGAGGGCGGGGGCCAGGGGCGGGCGCGGCCGGGGAGGCGGCGGGCGGGCGCGGGCCGGGGCCGGGGCCGGGGCCGGGGGCGGGGCGGGCGGGCGGGCGCGGGCGGCGGCGGCGCCCCCUCCCGGACCUACCGGCGGCCGCGCUCCGGAAGCCGUGCCCGGUGGCUGGGCAUCAUGGGAAUGGCACGGCCGAGUUCCGGGGGAGGCGCGCGGCCCGCCGGACCCCCGCCCGCGAGCGCGCGCCCACCUGCCGGCCCCUGCGGGGCGCCCCCGCCCGCGCCCGCGCCCCCGCCCCGCGCCCCCCGAGGCCCCCCGCGCCCCCCGCGCCCCGCGUCCCCCGAGGCCCCCCGCGGCCCCCGCGGCCCCCGCGGCCCCCGCGGCCCCCGCCCCCGCGCGCCCAGCCUGGCUCGGGCCGGGGCGUCCCCGCGCCUGGGAGUUCGGGGUGGCUGACGUGGGGCCCCCGCCCGCCCUGCCGGAGGCGGGACCGACCCUGGGGGCCCGCCCUGUCCCCGGGGUGCCGGCGCGGCGGGGGCGCGCCCGGGGAGCGCGGGAGGUGGGGAGCCGGAGGGGCUGCGGCCCUGCCCGGUGCCGCGACCACCAGGCUGCAGCGCUCCUAGAAGUGCCCCGUGAGGUCCCGCCCGUGCGCGGCUCCGAGCCCGGCGCGGUCCUCCCGCCGGGGUGUGCGCCGAGCUCCGCGCCGAGCCCGCCCGCGGGCCUGGCCGGGCCGGGCCGCAGCCGCGCGCUCCCAGCCCCGCACGCCCCGGGCCGCUGCUCUGCUCCGGGGAAGCUGACCAGGCCGCCAGCCUCCUGGGCCUUUAGUUGCGGCCAUUGCUUCCCGGCCUGCGCGCUCCCUCGCCCCAGAGUAAGACGUCGGGACCCCAGGAGGUGA
rnacentral:lncRNA from 1 species